AGGAUUAUCCAUUUGAAAUCAUGUGUGAUGCAUCAGAUUACGCAGUAGGAGCUGUUCUAGGCCAGAAAAUAGACAAGAAGCUUCAUGUCAUAUAUUACGCCAGCCGAACGUUGGAUGACGCUCAGGGAAGAUAUGCAACAACUGAGAAGGAGCUUCUAGCUGUUGUAUUCGCAUUUGAGAAGUUCAGAAGCUAUUUGGUUGGAUCAAAGGUAACUGUCUACACAGACCAUGCAGCUUUGAGGCAUCUGUAUGCCAAGAAGGAUACUAAACCAAGACUGUUAAGAUGGAUACUUUUAUUGCAAGAGUUUGACAUGGAGAUAGUAGAUAAGAAAGGCAUUGAAAAUGGCGCAGCGGACCAUCUGUCGAGGAUGAGAAUUGAAGAACCACUUCCGAUAGACGAUUCAAUGCCAGAAGAACAGCUCAUGGUUGUAGAGUUCUUCGGAAAAAGCUACAGUGGGAAAGAGUUCCACCAACUGAGUGCUGUUGAAGGAGAAUCUCCAUGGUAUGCUGAUCACGUCAAUUACUUGGCAUGCGGAGUAGAGCCUCCCAACCUGACAAGUUAUGAAAGGAAGAAGUUUUUCAGAGACAUACACCAUUACUACUGGGAUGAGCCUUAUCUUUACACUCUCUGUAAAGAUAAGAUCUACAGGAGAUGUGUCUCAGAAGAUGAAGCGGAAGGUAUCCUGCUGCAUUGCCAUGGCUCAGCAUAUGGUGGUCACUUCGCGACGUUCAAGACAGUGUCCAAGAUUCUUCAAGCAGGCUUUUGGUGGCCAACAAUGUUUAAGGAUGCUCAGGAGUUUGUUUCAAAGUGUGAUUCAUGCCAGAGAAAAGGCAACAUCAGUAAAAGAAAAGAGAUGCCUCAGAAUCCAAUCUUGGAAGUUGAGAUCUUUGAUGUAUGGGGGAUUGAUUUUAUGGGUCCAUUCCCAUCUUCAUACGGUAAUAAAUAUAUACUGGUCGCCGUAGACUACGUAUCAAAGUGGGUCGAAGCUAUUGCUAGUCCUACCAACGAUGCAAAAGUUGUGCUGAAGUUGUUCAAAACCAUAAUCUUCCCAAGAUUUGGAGUUCCCAGGGUAGUAAUCAGUGAUGGCGGAAAGCAUUUCAUCAACAAGGUUUUUGAGAACCUCUUGAAGAAGCAUGGGGUAAAGCACAAGGUAGCCACUCCUUAUCAUCCACAGACAAGCGGGCAGGUUGAGAUCUCCAAUAGGGAGAUAAAAACAAUUCUGGAAAAGACUGUUGGGAUUACAAGGAAAGACUGGUCUGCAAAGCUAGAUGAUGCAUUAUGGGCUUACAGGACAGCUUUCAAGACCCCCAUAGGUACAACUCCUUUCAAUCUUCUCUAUGGAAAAUCAUGUCAUCUACCCGUUGAGCUCGAGUACAAAGCAAUGUGGGCGGUAAAACUUCUGAACUUUGACAUAAAAACUGCUGAGGAGAAGCGAUUGAUCCAACUCAGUGACCUCGAUGAGAUCCGUCUAGAAGCUUAUGAAAGUUCUAAAAUCUAUAAGGAGAGAACCAAGCUUUUCCAUGACAAGAAGAUCAUCACUAAGGAUUUCCAGGUUGGUGAUCAGGUGCUGCUAUUCAACUCUCGCUUGAAACUCUUUCCAGGAAAACUUAAAUCCAGAUGGUCUGGCCCCUUCUGCAUCACUGAGGUCCGUCCUUAUGGAGCAGUCACUCUAGCUGGUAAGAGUGGAGAUUUUACAGUAAAUGGUCAAAGGCUCAAGAAAUACUUAGCGGACCAAAUCCUUCCAGAGGUGACAUCGGUUCAUCUCCAGGAGCUUCUUGAUGAUUAAAGGAGUAAAGGAGUCAAGCUAAUGACUUUAAACAAGCUCACUUGGGAGGAAGUCCCAUGAAUAUCCUUGUAAAUAAUUUUUACCUUCUUGAUAUUUUUGAUUUGUUUUAGUUGUGUUUGUGGUUUUCAGAGACAAGAGAACAACGCGGAGAUAGAGUAAAAAUUUU
rnacentral:sRNA from 1 species